rnacentral:rRNA from 1 species
GACGAACGCUGGCGGCGUGCUUAACACAUGCAAGUCGAACGGAAAGGCCCUGCUUUUGUGGGGUGCUCGAGUGGCGAACGGGUGAGUAACACGUGAGUAACCUGCCCUUGACUUUGGGAUAACUCCAGGAAACUGGGGCUAAUACCGGAUAGGAGCUCCUGCUGCAUGGUGGGGGUUGGAAAGUUUCGGCGGUUGGGGAUGGACUCGCGGCUUAUCAGCUUGUUGGUGGGGUAGUGGCUUACCAGGGCUUUGACGGGUAGCCGGCCUGAGAGGGUGACCGGCCACAUUGGGACUGAGGUACGGCGCAGACGCCUACGGGAGGCAGCAGUGGGGAAUAUUGCACAAUGGGCGGAAGCCUGAUGCAGCAACGCCGCGUGCGGGAUGACGGCCUUCGGGUUGUAGACCGCUUUCGCCUGUGACGAAGCGUGAGUGACGGUAAUGGGUAAAGAAGCACCGGCUAACUACGUG